AACUCUCGACAACAGAUAUCUCAUCUCUUGCAUCGAUGAAGAACGUAGCAAAAUAUGAUACUUAGUGACUUGAUCAUCGCCUUUCUCGUCUCCUCUAUUUCAUCCUUUUUUUCUUGCCC
rnacentral:rRNA from 1 species